GUCUCCUCUGCCUGGAGCGUUCCUUGGGGAAAUAAGCAUAAUUAUGUGCUUAAGGAAAUAGCUUUUAAAUAAGAGUUGGCUUGGAAUGAGAAACCAUCCUUAUCCUUCCAUCUACUUUGGGAGGUUAGUCUGAGAUUCCCUUUGGGCUCAUUCCCACUCCCGGAUUUUCUGCCUUUCGCUCACCCCCUCUUCCGUGUAAGGCCACCAGUGAGGCAUUACAGACCAGCCAUGCCCUCCCCCAUUCUACCCCUCUGAGUGGACAGGUGUGAGGAACAAGCCCCUCCAUAGACAAGGAGCCUUCGCAUUGCAUCAGACCAGGACUUCGCCAGCUGAGGGCACUGAGGCUUAGAGCGAUGGCGGACUUGCCCAGUGCCUCGCCCUUGUGCGAAGGAGCUGGCAGCAAACCCAGUGGUAGCUCCACACUCUGCUCCUUCAGUCAGACACCUGCCUGCCAAGACCUGCCCCUGGUCCCAGUUACACGGGGAAGUCCACCUUCAUGCUCAAAGCUUAGCUUCAUCAAGCUGACUCUCGGGCCACUUCUGUUACGGCCACUAUUGUCUGACUCAGAGCAUGUGGCUAUCCUUACCUGGCAGGACAGGCUUAAGCGCGUGUGCUGGCCUUGAGCCCUCAAAAUAUCAUUUUAUGUCUCAUGAUUUAUUAAAAACUCUAAAUCC